rnacentral:lncRNA from 1 species
CCAGGGCUGUGGUCUGGAAGAAGCUGCAUCAGGCUGGAGCUGGAAUGGGGGAGCUCUCUCUUCAGAUGCAUCUGUAAAUUUAAAAAUUCCUCUCUCAGGGUUCCUGUUGCAGCGCAGAGGAAAGGAAUCUGACUAGUAUCCAUGAGGAUGCAGGUUCGAUCCCUGGCCUCGCUCAGUGGUUUAAAGAUCUGGCAUUGCUGUGAGCUCUGACGUAGGUCUAAGACAGGGCUCGGAUCUGCCAUUGCUGUGGCCAGCAGCUGCAGCCUGGAUUCAACCUAGCCUGGGAACUUCCAUAAGCCACACGUGUGGCCCUAAAAAGCAAAAUAAAGUUCCUCUCCCAUCCUAAGAGAGUCUGAGUCUGUUCAUAGGUGCCCAAGCAAUGAGGGGGUCGGAUGGAGCUGGGGCAGGUAUCCCCCCUCCCCUACUGGCUCCCUACCUUUCCUCCCACCUACCUGGACACGGACACGUGGGCCCGGAAUGUGGGGUGGGGGGUGCUGGUAGGUGGGAGGAAAGGUAGGGAGCCUCUAUCCAAGGCCUCAAGUUCACAAAGCGCCUUAAAUUAGACUUCUGAUGUUAUCGCCAAAUGAGGUUUUACACAGAGCCAUUGUCUGUUCACGUGUUUGAAGUGUUAAUGCGCUAAAUGUAAACAUUGAAAAUAUACCACAGCUUUUCAAUCCUGUUUGGCAUCUCACUUUUUAAAUUCCAGGAAGCUCAAAAACGGAAGAAGGAAGGUUCUCUGGAGUUUCUGAGGGGCCUUGAUGUAUGCCCCCAAAGGAAGAACGCGGAGUGGGGGCUAGGUGGAGGGAAGUUGCGCCCACAAAGGAGCAGUCCAGAAUCCGUGUCCAGCCCCAGCCCCGCGACCUGCCUCCCCCGCAGAGAGAGGCCAAGCCAAGAGAGUGGAGCGGCUCCGCGGAGGACCCCAGAAAGACGGAAGAGGCGCGCUCCCUCCCACGGGAAAGACAGAUGUGGGGCUACUGAAAGGCGGGCAGAGAGGCGCGGGGCAGGCGGGGGAGAACAGGAGCGUGACCGGGAGAGGAAAGCUCUCCGGAGGGAGCGAACCAGACCACCGGGAGGUCCGCCGCGACGUCGGGCAGGAGCAGGCGCCGGGGAGAGGAGCCAGGAGGGGGCGUGCAAUUUGGCCCGAGGGUCCUGAGCUGAAACUCAACACCCGCCUUUAGAGGGAACGUCCCCCUUUCCCCUCCGCCCCUUCUCUUCCCCUCCCUUUUCCCCUCCCUCCUUUCUCUUAAUCCCUGGGACUGAGCCCCGCGCCGGAGCGGAGAGGGCCCGAGGGGAGGAGAGAGGAGCUGCACUGAGAGGGCGCCGGGAGCCCGGGAAGGGGAGGGAAAGGGAGCUGCGAGCCGGGGGUGAGCCUCGGGGCCACGCGCCACCCCUCCCCCCGGAGCCUUCCUAGUCGUCUCAGUGUCCCCCAAACCCCACCUUCAGGCGAGUCCGCAGGACCCUGGUCCCUGCUCCUCCUUCGCAUUCUCUUUGGUCCUUCUUUUGCUUUGUGGCCUUUCUCUCGGUUCCCAGAGACACCUGGGCUGCCCCGAGCCCUGGGGCGCGCGGAACGGCCCCACAAAGGGUGCGAGUGAGCAGGACGAGGGGGCUGGUUCCGAGGGCCAGGGGGCUGAGGGCUGGAGAGGGGCGGGUGGGCCCCUCUGGCGCGUGGGGAAGGCCGUUCCGCCCCUUCGAGCCGGGCCCUCGCGCGGGUGGCGAGGCGCCGUCGCCGCGCCCCCAGAUCCCCGGGCGAGUGUGCCUGCGUGGGAACCCGCCUCCCCAGCGGCCGCGGUCUCAGAGCCCUUCGGCGCCAGCCUGGCCUCCGCUCAGCAACUCGGAAGAGUUUAAAGAGGGACGAACGUCUCCGUCCUGAUCCCUCCGCCCUCCCUCGGCGCCGGACCCCAGCCCCAGGAGCACCGCACUCCAGGCCGGCUCCCGGCUAAGGAGGGUUGGCUCCUAAACUCGCUCGUCCAGCCCGACCGUCCCGGCAGCUUCUCCCUGCCCUCGGGGCCGUCCUGAGCGGCCCGGGGAGGCGUCGAGGCGCAGCCCCAGCUCCCGCCUCUUCUCCUUUCCCGGCCCUGGAAGGGAGGUUUGGGCCCAUGCGGACCCGGGGUGCCCCCGCGGCCUAGGGCAGGCAGCUCCCCGGCCUGGCCCAC